GUUGUUCGGAAUUACUGGGCGUAAAGCGCACGUAGGCGGACCAGCAAGUUAGGGGGGAAAUCCCGGGGCUCAACCCCGGAACUGCCUUUAAAACUGUUGGUCUGGAGGUCGAGAGAGGUGAGUGGAAUUCCGAGUGUAGAGGUGAAAUUCGUAGAUAUUCGGAGGAACACCAGUGGCGAAGGCGGCUCACUGGCUCGAUACUGACGCUGAGGUGCGAAAGCGUGGGGAGCAAGCAGG
rnacentral:rRNA from 1 species